UACGGAGGAUCCAAGCGUUAUCCGGAAUCAUUGGGUUAAAGGGUCCGUAGGCGGCCCGAUAAGUCAGCGGUGAAAUCUCCCGGCUCAACCGGGAAAUGGCCAUUGAUACUGUCGGGCUUGAAUUACCAGGAAGUAACUAGAAUAUGUAGUGUAGCGGUGAAAUGCUUAGAGAUUACAUGGAAUACCAAUUGCGAAGGCAGGUUACUACUGGUGGAUUGACGCUGAUGGACGAAAGCGUGGGUAGCGAACAGG
rnacentral:rRNA from 1 species